CUCAAAAAUGGUGCCCAUCACUGAUAAGGGAAGGUUCUAUGCUUUUGGAAGAGUCUUCUCUGGUGUUGUCUCCACUGGCCUCAAAGUCAGAAUUAUGGGAUCAAAUUAUACUCCAGGAAAGAAAGAGGACCUUUACCUGAAGCCUAUACAGAGGACAAUCCUGAUGAUGGGGCAUUAUGUGGAGCCAAUUAAAAACGUUCCAUGUG